rnacentral:rRNA from 1 species
GAUGAACGCUGGCGGCGUGCCUAAUACAUGCAAGUCGAGCGAACAGACGAGGAGCUUGCUCCUCUGACGUUAGCGGCGGACGGGUGAGUAACACGUGGAUAACCUACCUAUAAGACUGGGAUAACUUCGGGAAACCGGAGCUAAUACCGGAUAAUAUAUUGAACCGCAUGGUUCAAUAGUGAAAGACGGUUUUGCUGUCACUAAUAGAUGGAUCCGCGCCGCAUUAGCUAGUUGGCAAGGUAACGGCUUACCAAGGCAACGAUGCGUAGCCGACCUGAGAGGGUGAUCGGCCACACGGGAACGGAGACACGGUCCAGACUCCUACGGGAGGCAGCAGUAGGGAAUCUUCCGCAAUGGGCGAAAGCCUGACGGAGCAACGCCGCGUGAGUGAUGAAGGUCUUCGGAUCGGAAAACUCUGUUAUUAGGGAAGAACAAAUGUGUAAGUAACUAUGCACGUCUUGACGGUACCUAAUCAGAAAGCCACGGCUAACUACGUG